CUUGCUCAGAUGUUGGCGCUUCGCUCACUGUCACAUCGUAUUUUACAAAGUGAGGAGAUGCUCAGAGGUUCUCUUUUCCUAAAAUCUGAGAUCAGAAGUGUUACACAGACCAGGUCGCGGCGUUGAAGCUAACCUAAGAAAUUGAAACUGUGUUGUUUGGAGUGUUACGUAGGUCCUCUUUUUCCUGCAGGGUGAUCGUUCUGUGGCCUUCCUCCAUAAAAGUGGUAUUCAGUAAGCUGUACGGUUCUUACAGCUCUCGGUCGCAGCAGAUGGCCCCGCCCCUCCCUGAGCCUGGUUCUGCUGGAGGUUUCUUCCUGUUGAAAGGGAGUUUUUCCUUCCCACUGUCGCCAAAGUGCUUGCUCAUAGGGGGUCAUAUGGUUGUUGGGUUUUCUCUGUUGAAGAUGAAAUGCCUGCCCUGGAGUAUAUCUGGGAUAGCGAGGUUGUCCCUCACAUCCAGGCUAAGGAGAAAAACCCGUUCAGCGCUCUGCUGAAAGACCAAACCGUCACCUGCCCCCUGACACCUCCAGAUCUCAUUCAGACAAAGAUGACCACAGCUGACCUCACGACACAGAGUCCGACUGCCCCACCAGCUCCACCCGUCAUUAAUCCCACUUCCAUGAGACCAGAGGAGGUGCUGCACCAGCCUAAGGAUUCUGCCCCCUCCAUGACCAGACCUCCUCUAAUCCUCAGCACCCUGAGCCUCCACACUGCUGCCCUGGGUCAAAUUCAGGAUGGUACUCUGGAUGGACCCCUUUCUCACCGGUACCCUCGGAAAUCUGGCGUCACGUUUCCUCUGUUUGGGUCCAGAUAGGCUGAGAGUGUCACAGCCAGUAAACACAUGUUGCUGUUUUUUUCCUACAUAAUUGAAGCUUUUUAAAUACUGUGAACAAAGACAAAAACAUGUCAUGACUGAUGGAAUUUUAUUUGGAAAAAUAAAUGUUAUUGCCUGGACUGCUUUAAUAUUUUUAGAGAACUCUGUUCAUCUGACCCUUGUUGUUCAGGCGACCCAGCGUUUGUGUUUUUGGUUUAAUAUUCUUUAUUUCUCCUUGUCAACUCCCCGUCUCCUGUUUCCUGUUUUACUUUGAUAGUCUUGCUUCCUCCACAUCUCGUUAUGUGUGAUUGCUCUCAGCUGUGUCCGAUUCCCACAUUAUCCCUCUGUGUAUUUAAGUCCUGCGUUUUCCUCUGUCUAUUGUCGCGUCCUUCCCUGUUUGCUGUGUGUUUUCUAGUCUCCCAGUGUUUAGUUCUUAGUUUCUAUGUUCAAGUUUUAUUUUUGUGAGUUUAUUUUACGGAUUAUUUUUCCCAGCGAAUAAAGCUGCCGCUUUGAGUUUACUGUUCUGUGUAUGAGUCCUGCAUUUGGCUCCUUCAUCCUGCCUGCCACAGCAAAAACUGGGACAUUUUCACUUUUUGUUAAGUAUGGAAUAUUUUAAGACGUCUUAGAGCUGGACGAGAUGAUGAUCGUGGAGAUUAUUACAGCUAGGAAGGAAGCAAAAUAAAAGUGGAUUCAAUUGUUUUCAAUACUAGCGGUUUGGUAUUUUUAAGCUGCUAAGACGGAGCUUGUUUUCUCGUUGGAUUCACUGAAGGAUCCACGUCUGCUGAGGCUGAAUUGUUCAAACUCUUUUAAUCGUUUGCAAACGUUAGCUCACUAAACUAGUUCAUAAAUGUCUCUUGUCAGUUUUUUCAGUGUUGUUUGACUUGUAGUUCUGCACCUGCUCUGCUUUUCUCUUUACUGGUUUUGUCAUCAGCACAGUGUCGCUGCGACCUUCAUCACAACACUUAAGCUGCACUCACCUUGCUUACUGACUCAGGUUUCUGUUGUUGUUGUUGUUGUUGUUGUGUUUUUUUUUUUUUUUAAUACAGUCAAGUUCAGUGCAAUGCCCUCACUUAUGAGGAUCACUUACCCAUUGCAAAACACAGGUUUUGGGUGCUGCUGCAUUCAAGAGUCAUAUAGACAGAUGCAAACAGGUACAGUCCCAAUCAAAAGGUUAAGACCACUUAAAAAAUGGCCCCAAAAUCCUAUUUUGCAUGGUUGGAUCUUAACAAGGUUCAACGUAGAGCUUCAACAUGCAACAAGAAGAAAUGGGAGUGAGACAAAACAUUUUUUUGAGCAAUUUAUUGAAAACAAGCUGAAACAGGCUGUUUUACAGCUGAUCAAAUGUUUAGGACCACUUGCCUUUAAAAGGCCAAAUCUGUGCAAAAAUGUGGAUUCAUUGUCAUUUUCUGUCAUUUCACUGUCAUGAUGCUCUGUUGGCAAAGGAAAACAAACCUUCCCUUGUUGAACGUGGUCGGGUUGUUGAACUGCAUAAGCAGGGUCUCUCACAGCGCGCCAUCGCUGCUGAGGU
ensembl:lncRNA